GCCUGGCCAGCUCUGGAUCUGCAGAGUGCCAAUGAGGGGUGCUCGGGUCAGUGCUUCUGCAGGCGCGGGGUACUUGCUGCCCCGGUAAACAUGGCGAAGAGCUAUCUCCACCAAAAGACUUCCCACAGGCUGUAAAAUGCCAGCCCAGCCCCACGGGGCUGACGUGGUGGUCAGCAUUUUUCAAACGUGUUGACCUCUCAGUCCUUUCUGUCGGGACCACGUUAGAUGAGGAAUCUGACUGGCUCAUAUUGUCUAUUUGGACCAAGUCAUAGGUUGUCAGGGGACCUGUAAAUUAGAGGCUAUGAGGAGAGGUGCCUGUCCACUUUAUUCAACCAGAAGGAGCUGUGGCAUCCCCGACACCAUGGUUGACGUAUCUUGUACAAUGGGGUCACAUCUUAUCUGAGGAUUGGAUUCUAAAAUCUCCAGAGUAAGCCCUUAAUAUCUGUUAGAUAAAUGAAUGAAAGACUUUCUAAUGGACUGGGAUGGGUCAUCUCAUACCAAUGAAAAUGAGAAGCCACCCCGACUCGAAGAUCUAGCCUGGUGAAAUCCCUAAACCCGAUGGAAAAAUAAAGACUUCUCCCAAAUUUCAAACAAAAAACAGUUGGAUGACUUUCAAAAAUCUUGAUAAUUGGAACAGCUUUGAACUUCACACUGCAACAGUCAUCACCUGAGACAACAGAGUGAAAACUGGAGAAUCACUGAGGGGACAAAAACCAGAAGCCCGGAAGACAGUCAAAGGCAACCUCAGACCCAGAACCUCAGGAAAAUGGCCUCAGGGGCCUUGAGUGAAAGCAGACUAAAGGACCUGGAAAGCGAGAGCUCUCGUCAGUCUGCUGACGCUGAUGGACUGCCGUCUGUGGGCCGCCUGUCCCCUUCUCCUGGGCCUUGGGUUCUGGGUUCCAGGGGGAGGAGGCAGUCAGUCAACGAAUAAGUGAAAGAACGAUUGAAUCAACCCUCAGAGGGCAGGGCUGGCCUGCUGCCUUACGUUGGCAGCAGCAGGGCUGGCAGGGCAGCCUCCAUCUGCCCCAUAGGGCAGCUGCGCAGGUUGCAGCCCAGCCUGCCACUGGCAACUCCAGCUGUGACAUUGCAGACUCCUUGACCCUGGGCUGUGACCCUGUGAUCACUCUGCGCGGUGGGGUAGGACGGGGGCUGGGACUGGGCACCCCUCCCCCUGCAGAAUUGGGGCAGGGACAGUGGACACAGCAUGAUGACUAUGAUGACACCAUCAGAGCCCAGCCUACGGCGUUCAUUGUGAUGAGGGAAUGGCAGCCCAGGUCCCUCCCGCAGAUCCCCAGGGGCCCCCACCCUAGUGAGCUGGACCCCUCUGAACCUGGAGCAGUCUUUUGUGCUUUGAUGUCAGCCACACCAGCAGUGAACAGAAGCCUACUCUCUCCCCUUCCUCCUGAGCCUCAGGGUCCCAGGGCAGGCACAGCCCAGGACCCUCCCCAGCUCUGUCCAGGUGGGCAGGUGACUCAGCCUGCCACAUGGCAGGAAAGGAAACGGAGGAGACUCCUGAAGCCCAGGUCCCCACACCGCUCCUUUCCUCCCGCUUGGGCUACUGUGGCCAGUUUAUCCAUGAGCACUCAUGUGCGUCCCUUGUCCAUUCUUUCAGUUGUAUUUAUUGUGUACCUACUGUGCGCUAGAAGCUGGUGGGGUUUCACUCUACAGAGAUGGCCAACGCUGGUCUCUACACAGGUCAACCGUUCCCAGCUCUCUGAAGCUCUGGAACAAUCGCCUUGGACACAUCACCCACCCUGUGCACAGUGAGAAAGUAGGCAGUACUUUUUGUCCCUUGGGGACAAAAAUAAAAACCCAGUCACUUAAGUGUCAUUCCUACAGCAGCAAUGACUUAAUGACUGGAGAUAGGAAAAAAAUACCAUUGUCUGAACAAAGAGAUGUACUUCGUGAAUUUUAUAAUACUGACUGACAUGCUUAAUUCCCUUCCCUUUGGGAAAAAAGAAGAAAAAAGCACUGGAUGCCCCCUCCUCCUAAAAAAGAUAAAAAUAAAUGAUCGGAACAGACACAAAACAGCAGCCCUAGCUUCUUUCACUCCCGAGAACUGUCUGAUGACUGACUCACCCAGGAAUUGUGCCAAAAGGGACAGAGUUUCGU
ensembl:lncRNA